rnacentral:precursor_RNA from 10 species
AUCUAAGAAUUUGUAAUAGUGGUUUGGCAUUAGGUAAAUCAAAUUUCAGGCUGUUAGUGAGACCAACAGCUUGAAUUUGUUGCCUACAGACACUCCACUGCUAUCUACUGAGGUUUCA